GACUCUCGGCAACGGAUAUCUCGGCUCUUGCAUCGAUGAAGAACGUAGCGAAAUGCGAUACUUGGUGUGAAUUGCAGAAUCCCGUGAACCAUCGAGUCUUUGAACGCAAGUUGCGCCCGAAGCCAUUAGGCUGAGGGCACGCCUGCCUGGGUGUCGCC
rnacentral:rRNA from 19 species